rnacentral:rRNA from 1 species
AAGCUUGCUUUCCUUGAUGACGACUGGCGCACGGGUGAGUAACGCGUAUCCAACCUUCCCAUAACUACGGGAUAACCCGUUGAAAGACGGCCUAAUACCGUAUGAUAUCGUUUGCUGACAUCAAAUAACGAUUAAAGGUUUAGCGGUUAUGGAUGGGGAUGCGUCUGAUUAGCUUGUUGGCGGGGUAACGGCCCACCAAGGCUACGAUCAGUAGGGGUUCUGAGAGGAAGGUCCCCCACAUUGGAACUGAGACACGGUCCAAACUCCUACGGGAGGCAGCAGUGAGGAAUAUUGGUCAAUGGGCGAGAGCCUGAACCAGCCAAGUAGCGUGCAGGAUGACGGCCCUAUGGGUUGUAAACUGCUUUUAUGUGGGGAUAAAGUGCGUGACGUGUCAUGCAUUGCAGGUACCACAUGAAUAAGGACCGGCUAAUUCCGUGCCAGCCGCCGCGGUAA